CCGAGUCUUAAAUCAGUUUUACUUGCACCCUAAACAAAAAUUUCUAGGUUUUGUAUAUUCGAGAUUGAAUUUCAACUAUCCCGACAAUUUUCCGGCCAAAUCUUCGGUCAGAUAUAGUUCUACAAUCUGUAAAUUCUCAAUUCUCGUACAAAUUUCAAAUUCAAUCAAUGCUUUCAAAUUUAAUUUGUGUAUAUAUGUGUGUGCGCGCGCGCGCGCGCAAUGCUUCUAUAUUGCAGGGUUUGUUGAUUUAUUGAGCGUUGAAAGAGGAUUGAGACAUGGAAACAGAUGGGUUUGAGCAAUUGAAGAAUAAGAUACAGGAAUGGUUACAAGAAGCAGAAAAAUUGAUUCAUCAGAUACCCCAAACUCAACUUUAUGCCGAAAUUAUUCACCCAAAACUUUAUGCAGCAAUUGGGGUUGUGUUGCUGACUACCCCUUUGCUCUUAUUAGGUAAUAAUAAUAAUAUAUAUGUGAAUAGUUUCAUAUUUUAGUAAAUUUUGGUAGUUUGUUUAUUAUUUUGUUGACAUUCUGGGUUUUGUAGAAUUUUGUGUAAUAUUUGCAAAUUAGCAUUCUUUGUUCCCUGAUAAUAUGUCACGGUAUUAUUAAUAUUUAUGUGGCAUUGAGUUGUUGUGAUGAAUUGAAUGGAUUGACUUCACUAAUUUGUAAAUCUUUAAAAAUUAAAGGCUUGAAAUUGCAUUGUGUGUCAUUAUCAGUCCAAAAAGAAUUGUGAUAAAUUGAAUGGAUUGAUCCACACUAAUAUAUAAAUGAAAAUAGCAGUCUUGAAAUUACAUCGUUGUGUGUCAUUAUCAGUCCAUAAACAAGUGCGUUGUUUCGCAAGCAUGUAGUUUGAUUUGUGCUUGAAGGCAAGAGGCCUAUUAGGAAAAAAAAAUCCUUUCAGAUCUGUGGUAAACUUUAUGAACAUUAAUAAUUAAAGUCUUAAACUUUUUCAUGAAUUUAUGAUUAUUUGGUGAAAAUACCACUGAAUUGUAAUUUCCCCAAAACAAAGAAAGACCAAGUUCAUAGGAUAGUCAUACUUUACAAUGAGCUGUCAGCAAAGUCUCUGUUUAUUUUCUUAACUUACCCUUUUGGCAGAAAAAUUACAUAAUAUUGCACAUUUACCCAGCAAUUUGUCAAAAGGACAUGUUUACAUUAAUUUAGAUUUAUGUGUUUUAUAUUUAUAGGGUGUGACUAAAAACCUUGGUUGCUUGACAGCAUCACUCGCAUUCUUUACUUCUUUUUAUUUUUCUCCAAUAUUUGAUUUUGUUGUUUUGACAUGGUAUAAACCUUAAACAAUGUAAGGCUAGUAGUUAGAACUUGAGUUUCUUAAUAUUUGACGCAAAAUCUAGGAGCUGCUCUCAGUGAUCUUCAAAUCAAGGAGUUGCAUGCACUCUGACUUGUGCGAAAUCAAUUAGUUUUUGUUGGCAAAAAAAUUGUACUUUUUAAUAAAUACUCUCUCUCUCUCUCUCUGUCUGUCUUGUUUUGGUGAUAUAAAAUCACAGUGAAGACUUCAUUGUCUUGUUUUCUGUUUUAAAUCAGAGUCAAGACACUAUACUCUGAUGUCAUUGUGAAGUAUUUUCUUUUUCAAUUGAAUGUUAGAACUUUGAAUCUUACUUAGAAAUCCCUUUCUCCUGCUUCACUAUGCUGUUUGUUUGUUAAAAAGCACAAAAGCUGACACUAUUGUUCUGACUGGGCUUAGUGGAAGGGGAAGAACUGUUCUUUUUCAUCAAGUAAGCUAUCUGAGUAAUGCUUUUGUUGCCUAAUUUGUACUGAUUGACAGUUAUGUCAAUGCUUUAUUCUAUUAACAAGAAGAGUUACAUGGAUAGAAGGUGAUGAGUUACUCCUUUCUUGAACCCAUCGUCUGAGAGCACUGAUGCCGGGUUGAGCUUAAACUAUGAUGGCACUUUUGUGCUACAUUCUGAAAUGAGUAGUAAGAAGGAAAAAAUAAAGCCUGUUAACAUUGUUGAUGGGCAUUCUUGUCUUCAACCCAAACUAGAUGAGUUCUUGCCUCAAGCAGCUGGCAUGGUUUUCGCAGUGGAUGCUUUGGAAUUCUUGCCUAACUGUCGCGCAGCUUCCGAGUACGUGCGGAGUAAUUCAUCAUCAGACAUGUUAUCUUCUACUUGCAUUUCUUGAUGAUCCCACUUGCUU